rnacentral:miRNA from 1 species
GGUGGGGGGUGGGGUUGUUC